AUUGAACGCUGGCGGCAUGCUUUACACAUGCAAGUCGAACGGUAACAGGCCGCAAGGUGCUGACGAGUGGCGAACGGGUGAGUAAUGCAUCGGAACGUGCCCAGUCGUGGGGGAUAACGCAGCGAAAGCUGCGCUAAUACCGCAUACGAUCUAUGGAUGAAAGCGGGGGACCGUAAGGCCUCGCGCGAUUGGAGCGGCCGAUGUCAGAUUAGGUAGUUGGUGGGGUAAAGGCUCACCAAGCCAACGAUCUGUAGCUGGUCUGAGAAGACGACCAGCCACCCUGGGACUGAGACACGGCCCAGACUCCUACGGGAGGCAGCAGUGGGGAAUUUUGGACAAUGGGCGCAAGCCUGAUCCAGCAAUGCCGCGUGCAGGAAGAAGGCCUUCGGGUUGUAAACUGCUUUUGUACGGAACGAAACGGUCCUGGUUAAUACCCGGGGCUAAUGACGGUACCGUAAGAAUAAGCACCGGCUAACUACGUGCCAGCCGCCGCAGUAACAC
rnacentral:rRNA from 1 species